UGCCGCGUGCAGGAGAAAGCCUUCUGGGUUGUAAACUGCUUUUAACUGGGGAUAAAAGAUCCCUGCGGGGAGCAUUGAAAGUACCAGUUGAAUAAGCCACGGCUAACUACGUGCCAGCA
rnacentral:rRNA from 1 species